rnacentral:rRNA from 1 species
UACGAAGGGGGCUAGCGUUGUUCGGAAUUACUGGGCGUAAAGCGCGCGUAGGCGGGCAUCUAAGUCAGGGGUGAAAUGCCAGGGCUCAACCUUGGAAUUGCCUUUGAUACUGGAUGUCUGGAGUUCGGGAGAGGUGAGUGGAAUUCCGAGUGUAGAGGUGAAAUUCGUAGAUAUUCGGAGGAACACCAGAAGCGAAGGCGGCUCACUGGCCCGAUACUGACGCUGAGGCGCGAAAGCGUGGGGAGCAAACAGG